rnacentral:lncRNA from 1 species
GCCGAAAAAAUACCAGAAACCAUGUGGGUCUGUCUCGGCUUCUUCUCUUCCUCCAUUCCCUUCCAGCGGUGAGAAUCGCCGCCACCUGCAAAGAGGAGAAAAACGCACAAAAGGCAGUUGAUUUUAUUUCUUUCUUUCCUUCAGAUCUGUUUCGGUCUUCUUUUUUUCAGUUAUAGUUUGUCGUUCUUCCCUUCUUCUAGUGACAGAUCUGGCGAUUGUUGUCCAUGGAUGUUGAUGGCUGAGAGGAGCGCCGCCGAGAUGGAGACUGUCGUGGAGGGCAGAUCGGCGGUUUGCAGAGGGCGACGAGGGAUCAGUGGCUAGUUGAAGGCGGCGCUGCUGUGGUUGAUGGAGUGGACGGCGCCGAUGGGAUGAGGAGACGCCGCUGCUGGGCCUCCGUUCGGUGUUGGAGGGGGCGCCGCUGCUGAUGCUGUGGGUCGCUGCUGAGUGGAUCAAAAAAGAAGAUGUUGCCGAGAGAGGUGCUUCAGUGUUGAUGGGUCCGACGGGAUAGAGACGAAGGCUGUGAUGUUUCGGGCAGCUGUUGUGGGAAGGAAAAAUCCAAAAAUCCAGUAGGGGGGGGAAGCGGCCAGCUUUGUUUUUUCUGACCUUGGCUGGGGAAGGGAGAAGAAACAAUGUAGGCCGGCGAUGGUGAUGGGUUUGUGGAGAUGGGGGUGUUCGGGUGGCUGAGAAAAAAUUCAAAUCGGCUGGGGGCUGUGAUUUUUGGCUCCGGUUGAAAGAGAAGAAAAAAAAAUUAAAAAAAACGAGAGGGAAGGGGCCUUGGGCGAGAAGGAGCAACGGCUGGAGGUUCAAAAAAUUUCAAACCGGGGGGCGGGGCGGCUCCUUUGGGUAGGCUGUUUGGAGAAAACAAAAGAUAGGUUUAGGGUUUUUUCUUUUGUAUUUUUGUUGAAGUUUCAAAAUUGCCCCCCCCCUUUUUAAAAAUCAGUUUAGCAUGGUAUUUAUAGGCAAAAAUAUUGCUAGGUUUUUCGACUUGGUCCCUCAACUUCUUUCUUUUUGUAAAUUUUGAUUUUUUUAUUUUUUUUGUAUUUUUGAAAACGAGCAAUAUCAACGUCGACUCAAAAUGCGGAAAAUCAAUAUUUUAAAAAUGACGCGUGAAAAGUCGAACGCGUUUGAAAAUAUUUUAACAAUUUAAAUUCUUUUUUAGACGCUGUUGAAAAUGCUAAAAUGACGAAAAUAUAUUAAAAAAAUAUUUUUUGGAUUUUCUUUGUUUUUCUCAAUUUUUUUGGAUUUUUUGAAAAUAUAUCAAAAACAUCGGUCAAAAAUUGGGUAGCAACAGAUGCCCCCUCUUUACAAUGCUUACGAAGCGAAAAUCCUCAAAAUUUUGCAUAGUAAGCUUUGUAAAGAAAACAAAAGGAAGAUGAUUUCAUUAUCUUGGGCGACCUGCCCAUACACUCACUGAUCUAUUUUCACGGGCGACCUGCCCACGCAUACUCACUCUGGUCUAUUUUCACGGGCGACCUACCCACACGUACUCACUCAAGUGUAUUUUCACGGGCGACCUGCCCACACAUACUCACUCAAGUCUAUUUUCACGGGCGACCGACCCACACUCUCCCAAUAGUCUAUUUUCACGGGCGACCUGCCCACACAUUGGGUUUACCUGAGAUCCCAUCUGGCGACCUCAUUCAACUGGAACGAAAAUAUGUGUAACUCGGUUAACCUGAAAUCCCAUCUGGCGAUUCCCUUUAACCAAAGUUACAUGAGAUCCCAUCUGGCGACCUAUUCAACUGGAACGAAAAUAUUUGUAACUCGGUUAACCUGAAAUCCCAUCUGACGAUUCCCUUUAACCAAAGCUACAUGAGAUCCCAUCUGGCGACCUCAUUCUGGUCUCAUUGUGCGGGUGACUAACCCUCGAAAAAUGCUGGUCUCAUUGUACGGGUGACGAACCCUAGUGCUGUUGGUCUCAUUGUACGGGUGACGAACCCUAGUGCUAGUCUCAUUGUACGGGUGACGAACCCUAGUGCUGGUCUCAUUGAACGGGUGACGAACCCUAGAAAAAUGGUUUUUUUUUUUUUUUUUUUUUUUGAGGUUAGAUGAUAUGCAUGCAUCCUUACCUGAUUUGAAAUAAUAGGUCCCCCCUCUUUGAUGCUCCAUCGUCAUAGGGUGCCCUUGUUUGUAUCCCAAAGCUUUCUUUGUUCUUCCGAUGUAUUGGCUCAUUCAUGUGUUAGCCAUCCACUCAACUGUAAAUGCAGUGCCCAUCCUGGGCUGUCUUCGACAAUUACUGCUUGCAUCGUUUAUGAAGCUUAACCCUGCCCCCAAGUGUAGUAUUGCUUGAUUCAUCAUGAGAGAUUUUCUCUCCUGGCUUCUUCUGAGAAAUUAUCCUCUGAUUGAUUAUGUGCAUCAUGCCAACACCCAUCAAGAUUGUUAAUCAGUCAUGAACUUGCCUUCGGUUGAAACACCAUUCAAGUAUGUAUGGUCACCAGCCUUCAUGGAACUGCCAAGUCAUCCAGACAUGUAUCUCAUGCUUUGCAGUAAACACUCAUCAUUGUAAGCGCGAUGUAUUUCUCUAUGGAUUCCUCUUAGCUUGUCAAAUCAGAUCGUGAAAAUACCUGCUUUGGCAUCAUCAAUGAUGUUCAUGUUAUCACCCAUAUUCAUGCGGUGAAGUGCGCAUUUGAGCUUCAGAAUAGAUGUCCCACAAUCAGUCUUCGAGGUGGGUGCCUUUCCGACAUUCAUUCAGUGCAGUUGUGUGAUAACAUCUGUCUAUAACCAUGUUUCAAAGAAUGACAAUAUGAGAUUGUCCUUUAAGUGCAGCAUUGUUCCACAGUCAGUCUUGGUGGUAUGCAUCUUUUCUCCAUUCAAUUACAUUCAUCUGUGUAUUCCUCAUCGAUCGCGAGCCAUGUUUCAAAAAAUGAUGAUAGGAAAGUGCCCUUCAGGUACGUUUUUGUUUCUCCAUUGCCGACAGGAUUCACUAAAGCAUGGGCCAUUUUGGAAUGACAUUGCCCCCAGUAUGAUCCGAAUGUGCUCGUUCAUUGAUUAUCUGUCUUUGAACAUCAUUGUCUUCAGUUCACUGAUUCAUCAUUUAAACAUUGCCUCAUAGCUGAUCUGAGCACUGCUUGUUUUUCCUUUUCAAGGUCUACUGUAUUGCCCCCAGCUGCUCAACUUUUCAAGGAGUGUCGAGGACUUCAAUGUCAUUUCUAUCAACGAUUUUGCAUACUCAAUCAAUGUUCUUCUGUGUUUGAUAAUCUUCCUUGUUCUGGAAUCAACUCUCAUAUUUCAAAGAUCAUGUCUAUUCAAAGUCUAGUUUGUUGAAAUGAAAUCAGAGAUGUCUUUUUUGAAAAUCUUUUGAAAAUCAAGCUUUUUGAUCAAAGGCCCAACACAUUUUAUUCGAAAUAUAUAGUCCUUUGAUUGUCAUGCAUUUUGAAAACAGAAAUUGACCCAAUGUAGGAUUAAAAAUGGCUUUUUCCAUGGUUCUUUGUAUCAAUUUGAAUCCUUGAUAUUGGGUAUAUCAUUUGAUAGUUUAUGGUGAGGUGACCUUCUGUGAAUUUCAAAAAACAAGGCUCAAGUCAAAACUUGAGGAUUCAUGAAGGAAAUGUUUUGUUUUUAGCAAUAAUUUUAUCAACAUGCAUAACGACCGGUAACUUAAUUCAUGAAGUCAUGACUCUUAUGGAAAAACUCUUCAAGUUUUGAGAGCGUCAUUUAUCGGUUCAAGUUGCUUGCUUGAUUAAAAAGGGCUUUUAAAAGCACGUAAUGUAGGCUACGGUUCAUGGCUAUGAAAGAAAGGAAUUUCAAAGGCUCAAAAGGUGUUUGAGGGUUUCAAAGACCUAGGAUCAACAUCAACUAUUCGUCAACUCUUUUAUAUUGUUGUCUUUGUAGAGGAAACGACAUAUAACCUUGUUAACCUCAAAGUUCAGACUUUUCUUAACAUAAGUCAUAAUGCAAAUCCAACUUUCUUUGAGGAAAAACCAACCUUAAUCAUCUGAUAACAUCAUAGGUUUUAUAACGGAUACCAAAAGUCAACGCUUAUAGCUUAGUCUUUUUCUGGUAUUGACUUUUGUUGUGCCUUUCCUUGAUUGAAAUUUCUUUUGCUCUUCAUAGACUUGAUAGGCGUUCUCCUUCCUUUAUCUUUGACUUGUAUUUAAGUGAAGGCAAUUUCAACUUCCUUUUUUCAUUCUCUUUUUUUUUUUUCAUAGCCUUCCUCAAAAUUUUCUUAUAUGCCCCCAGUCUAUGUGUUUUCUUUUAGCUCUCUCUCAAUCAUUGGACCUUUGUUCUAAGCCUUCCCCUUUAUCCAUUAAUUAUAUCAAUGUCUCCAAAAUAUCUCUCAUUUGCCCCCAGUGUGGGGUGUGAUCCUAGUCAGGGUUUCUUUUUUGAAAGAAAAUAUUUUACCAGGCUCAAAAUGGGACUGCAAGGGAUAUAAUCUUUAGAAAGUGAAGGGAUAUCAAAGAUGGCCUUUUCUCAUUUCAAGCAAGGUCGGUUAAAACCGAUAAAUUUUGACCUCAUCCAGUGUAAUGAUUGGGACUUGUAAGAAUCAUGAUUCACGAGUCCAUAACUACCGAAUCCACUACAUGUCAUUAUGCAUACUGUUAAAACUUAGCUAUAUGAUGUGUGGUUCAGUUUCAGGAGGUAUGAGUUCAAAAUUGUUUGGUCACCUCAUGUCAUUUUCAAGCAUAGAGUCAUUUCUGUAAUCAAAACACUUUAAUCUUCCGGAUUGAUUAACCUUUAUCGCAUGUUGGAGUUUGAUCAAAAUAUUUUGUCAGAAUAAAAUGCUAAACAUCUGUUGAUUUCAAAACAACAAAGAGACAAAAGCAAGGCAUGUUUCGUUGAAGGAUGAGAUGUGAUCCCAAAACAAAAUGCAGAAUUCCAUAACAAUAUGAUUGACUGUUCAUCACCAUUCUCGAAUCAGCUUUUCUGGCAAUAUCUGUGUUUUGCAAGCAUUUUCGAUCACAUGUCAUUCUGAAGAUGUUCGGGGAACAAUAUAGCCAGUGACACCCUUCUUCAACGACUCCACUGUCUCUUGCUCACCAACUUUCAGACUCAUUCUUGCAAUUCUUGAAACUGUUCACUUGAAAUGGUUGAGGACCCCACCAUGACAUCACAUCUCUUAUCUGGAUUAUACCACUAGAAAUUGGUGGUUGCAUGGGAUUUGUCGGAGUCAAGCAAAAUUCUGGAAUCUGCGGAUGCUGGUCGACAACUUAAACGGCAGAGGAAUGUCCCAUCUUGGCAAAGAUAUUUGAGCAAUUGAUGAUGCUGAGACCUGGCUAUACCACAUAAUUAAGGGUCACACCGUCAAAGUCAUCUCCUGAUUCACCUCUCAUCAUUGUUCUAGAAUCCAUGGCAGAUCCUUCAAUCUUUCUCUCUUCAUAGCUUGUUCAAUUCUUCGGCAAAUCCUCACAACAUUAUUUCAAUCUUCCAAUGUUGCUUGUGGUUGGUUGAGGAUUAGAAAACUUUCUAACAGCUUGGUAAUCUUGGCAGCGCCCAGAAACUUGUAGUAUCGCCACUACCGACGUGUGGAAUCACACAUUGUCUCUAUUGGAAGAGCACCUGAUGAAUCUAAAACUCCUUGUCCCCUCUUCAUUUCUCACUGACAGUGCAGCAAACAAACACCUAUAGAGGAAGUCCUGCUCUGUUGAAGUUUCAGUAUUCUUCAUGUUUUUCAGUCUAGGCAUGCAUCUUCUCUCUACUUUUGCAUUUUAAUACUGACACUGUUGGAGGAAAAUCAUAAAUGAUCUGAAACUACUAUAUUCCUUCUUGGAUUUCACACUUGCGGAUCCACAAACAGAUUCCUGUCGGGAGAGCUCUGCUACGUUGAAGUUUGAUGUCUGCUCAUAUUUUUCAGACCAGGUCUGGCUCUUCAACCUACUAAGAGGUCUUCGUGCUGAAACUGAUGAGAGAAAUAUUUGUAGCAUAUGCAAUUAGUAAAUCCCCUCUUGCAUUCCCAAUUUGCAGAGCCAUAAAUGGAUUUUUGUAGAGAGAGCUCUGCCACAUUGAAGUUUGACAACUGCUAAUAUUAUCAGACCAGGUCUGACUCUUCUGCCUACUACAAUGUUUUGCUGGUGCCACUGGUGGGAAAAAGUUUCAAAGCAUAUGAAAUUAAUACAUUCCCUUUUGCAUUUGCCAUUGACAGAUCCACAAAUAAAUCUCUACAGAGAGAGCUCUACCGCGUUGAAAUUCAGUGUCUGAUCAUGUUUUUUUUUUUUUUUUUUUUUCAGACCAACAUCUUGUGCUGCUGAACUGGAAUUGAGCUCAUAAUUGGGGUAACUUCAAAGCAGACUAAUGCACCAUGAACAGGAGGUUAGUAGUCGUUUGGUUCCAUUAGAUGAUGUGGAGGCGAUGAAUACUUAACAGCGCAACUGGACAGGAAUCAGAGUUGUCAUUAGUUGAUGACUGAAGGCGUUGUUGCUGUUGUUCAUGACUGAAAAGGAAAGGUACAGCUUCAAUUGGACGUGAACAAGCAGUGUUCCCACAGAAAACUGUGCAGACAUUCUCUUUUCAUUUGAUGCUCAACACUUGUUCGAGCAGAUCUGAGUCCCGCUACUUCACUCUUGAUGCUCUCAACCUUAAUCUGAUACUGAACCUAUAUCUGACUCCUUUGUUCACUUCCAUUAUUUUUCUUCAAUCUCGUGCAGCACAACUUGUAUAGGGGACCUAUGUUUCGACCCGGUUCAUGCAUGAUAAAUGUAUGAACAUAUGAACUCUCCCUUCGAGAGGUGACAAUAUGGUCGUAACUCUUGUAUGAUGGACAAGAAUCGUGAUUUUUGCCCAAACUCUACAAUGAAAAUUUUCGGAGCAACGGCCAAUGUGUCACCCACAAGUCUUGAGUUCAAGAUGCUUCAAGAAGGGUUUGCCCUUAUGCAAAAAACGAUAGCACAUACAACCUAAGGACAGGUUCUAUUCAUUAUGUGAACAUGGGUAAGUUUUCUACCUGGUCUCAAAAGGGUCUCAUAUCUGCCCAGUGACGUUCUUCGUAAAGACAGUUUGGGGGCGUUGCAAGGAAUGGUUAAGGUACGUAUACCCACCAUUACCAAGCAGACACUCAGAUAUGAGUUGGGUGUUUCACGCAUCUGAACCCUGACCAAUAGUCUUAGGACAGAUCGCUAGUUCCCCACCUAACCUAGAAGCUUGUGUGUGCUUUUAAAAAUAAAUACAAGUGAUGCAUGAGACAAUUCUAUAAAAUGCAUGGAAAUAAAUAUUAACCAAAAAGAUAAAAAUGCAAAAACUUAAACACAUCAAAUACACAAAGCUUAGUCCGAUAAUCGAAAAAAUACCGUCCCCAGUGGAGUCGCCAUUCUGUCGCACCCCAAAAAAAAUCGGCGCGCGGCAUCGGCUGGCGAUUUAAGUCUCAUUGUCGUUGCGUUUGCUUGAAUUUGGUUCGUUGGAGUCGCCACCUAGUAAUUGAUUUCGGGCUACUAGGAAACCGGAUGUACUGGUCUUGUCAAAGAUUCGCGGGUAAAGGACUGGUUGUGGUUAGGGAAGGUAUUAGCACCCCUAACACACCCUACCUGAGGUAAGCUGCUUCGUGGUUUUGACGUGUUAAAGAAGUUUUAAUAAUUGUCUUUUCAUCGGAAAUUAGAAAUAUCACUUACGUAUAAGUUAAUAAUUCUUAACCGUGAUCCGAUCAAAAUAUUAAAUUCUUCUUUAAUAUAUUUGCAAUUUCAUCCUAACAAAUAAAAAAAUAAAUAAAUAAAAUAACAAAUUCAUAAAACAAAUACAAACAAACACAUUCACGUUCACUAUAUUUCUUUUCUUUUCUUUUCCUUUCCUUUUUUUUUUUUGUUCUUUUCUUUUUUUAUUACAUCCAUCAUACAAAAUACAAAUACAAAAUUCAAAUUGAAAUUCAAAAUAAAUAAAUAAAAAUUACAUUACAUAAUUUAAAAUUUACAAAAACAUGUCCCUAAAAUUCUAGAAAUUGCAGGGAAGGACUCCUGCAACCCGCUGGAACAGUGCUGGGAGCAUCUUCUGGGCAGCUGGACAGUGGCGGCGCGUCUCCCCACGCGCCACCGCCACUGGCGGCGCGUGGGUUCACGCGCCGCCGAAAAAAUACCAGAAACCAUGUGGGUCUGUCUCGGCUUCUUCUCUUCCUCCAUUCCCUUCCAGCGGUGAGAAUCGCCGCCACCUGCAAAGAGGAGAAAAACGCACAAAAGGCAGUUGAUUUUAUUUCUUUCUUUCCUUCAGAUCUGUUUCGGCCUUCUUUUUUUCAGUUAUAGUUUGUCGUUCUUCCCUUCUUCCAGUGACAGAUCUGGCGAUUGUUGUCCAUGGAUGUUGAUGGCUGAGAGGAGCGCCGCCGAGAUGGAGACUGUCGUGGAGGGCAGAUCGGCGGUUUGCAGAGGGCGACGAGGGAUCAGUGGCUAGUUGAAGGCGGCGCUGCUGUGGUUGAUGGAGUGGACGGCGCCGAUGGGAUGAGGAGACGCCGCUGCUGGGCCUCCGUUCGGUGUUGGAGGGGGCGCCGCUGCUG